rnacentral:lncRNA from 1 species
GGCGGCGCGAGCUGCCUCAGCGUGACUGAGUGGCUGCGGCGUCUCUCAGUGUUGUAGGGAUCGCGAAAGCUUUUGCGCGCCGCCCCUAAGGCGAGUAACAGCCCAAGCAGCGAGUGUUUCACAACACUACUACUGUCCUGACGGGGUUCAGCACCUCCAGCAGCCACAUACAGAACCGAAAUCUGUCACGCCACAGCAGAGUGCUAUAAACAUGGCUAGCCAAAGGAAGACAGUAGAAAACAACUCAAGGAAGCUAUGAAGACUGUUGUGAAAGCAAAGAAGCCAGC